UUAGUCAGAUGAUUAACGUGUUUUUGAGCUGGAGGAGCAGAGUGUCAUGUAAUGAAAAUAUCAUUGUAGAAGGAAUUUCCAAAUUGGGGACAGCCUAGAAACCCAUCAUGUCUAAAUUCCUCGCUUUGUGAAUGUGGAAACCGACUCUUGGCCUGUUUGUUUGUUUUGUGUUUUUUGAGACAGGAUCUCUAUGCAGCCCUGCCCUGGAACUUGCUAUGUAGACCAGGCUGGCCUGGAAGUCCCAGGAAACUGUGUCUCUGCCCCCAUGAGUACUGGGACUAAAGGCGCGUGCACCCAUCAAGCCUGGCUAAACUGACACUUUUUUUUUUUUUUUUCUUUUUUAGGGAAGCUAUGGGGCUUCUGGCUCAAGAAAAGUCGGAGUGUAAUUUUUCCACUACAUCCUCACUCCCUUGCAAGACCCUGUGCAGCUCGAGUCUCCAGUCCUUAAUUCAUCCUGGGUGCCUGGCAGAGGGGGCAGAGGUACCUCCCCACCCCAUGAGGACUGGAGAAGAGAUAAGCCCCAAACCUGGAUGCUUCUCUUGGAAGUCAGGGCCUUGCAAGCAAGUGCUUUACCACUGAGCUACACCCCAAGUCCGCAAGCUGUUCUUUCGUUACCAUGAACCAAGAGGACAUUCCCCUCCCAUCUGUCUUCUGGAGCCCCUUCCCCUCACAUAAUGGCAGCAGUCACAUGUCACAGACUCUUCUGUCACUCUGGGGAGGGAUUUUGAAUUACCAACUCUUCCCUGAGGCUUUAUAAUACUUGUUCUUGUCCCCAAGUCUCCUAGAGCAUUUCUGAUUCCCCUUUUA